rnacentral:rRNA from 1 species
GAGGAAUAUUGGCCAAUGGACGGAAGUCUGAACCAGCCAAGUAGCGUGCAGGAUGACGGCCCUAUGGGUUGUAAACUGCUUUUGUAUGGGGAUAAAGUUAGGGACGUGUCCCUAUUUGCAGGUACCAUACGAAUAAGGACCGGCUAAUUCCGUGCCAGCAGCCGCGGUAAUACGGAAGGUCCAGGCGUUAUCCGGAUUUAUUGGGUUUAAAGGGAGCGUAGGCAGGAGAUUAAGUGUGUUGUGAAAUGUAGACGCUCAACGUCUGAAUUGCAGCGCAUACUGGUUUCCUUGAGUACGCACAACGUUGGCGGAAUUCGUCGUGUAGCGGUGAAAUGCUUAGAUAUGACGAAGAACUCCGAUUGCGAAGGCAGCUGACGGGAGCGCAACUGACGCUUAAGCUCGAAGGUGCGGGUAUCAAACAGGAUUAGAUACCCUGGUAGUCCGCACAGUAAACGAUGGAUGCCCGCUGUUGGUACCUGGUAUCAGCGGCUAAGCGAAAGCAUUAAGCAUCCCACCUGGGGAGUACGCCGGCAACGGUG